rnacentral:rRNA from 1 species
CAAUAGCGUAUAUUAAAGUUGUUGCGGUAAAAAAGCUCGUAGUUGGAUUUCUACCGAAGAUAGCCGGUCGGGUCUUCGACCUUGUAUCUGGUUUUGUCUUUGGUAUCCUCAUAGGGAACGUUUCUGCGCUUUAUUGCGUGGUGCGGUUUCUAUGACUUUUACUUUGAGGAAAUUAGAGUGUUCACGGCAGGCAAACGCCUUGAAUAUAUUAGCAUGGAAUAAUAACAUAGGAUCUUCGUCCUAUUUUGUUGGUUUCUAGGGCUAAGAUAAUGAUUAAUAGGGAUAAUUGGGGGCAUCUGUAUCAACGCGUCAGAGGUGGAAUUCUUGGAUUGCGUUGCGACAAACUACUGCGAAAGCAUUUGCCAAGGAUGUUUUCAUUGA